ACCCUGAUCAGCCUGCCGCGUGAGUGAAGAAGGCCUUCGGGUUGUAAAGCUCUUUCCUCCGGGAAGAAAACGCGCUCUCUAACAUAGGGUGUGGAUGACGGUACCGGACGAAGAAGCACCGGCUAACUACGUGCCAGCAGCCGCGGUAAUACGUAGGGUGCGAGCGUUAAUCGGAAUUACUGGGCGUAAAGGGUGCGCAGGCGGUUUUGUAAGACAGAUGUGAAAUCCCCGGGCUUAACCUGGGAACUGCGUUUGUGACUGCAAGGCUAGAGUACGGCAGAGGGGGGUGGAAUUCCGCGUGUAGCAGUGAAAUGCGUAGAUAUGCGGAGGAACACCGAUGGCGAAGGCAACCCCCUGGGCCUGUACUGACGCUCAUGCACGAAAGCGUGGGGAGCAAACAGGAUUAGAUACCCUGGUAGUCCACGCCCUAAACGAUGUCAACUAGUCGUUCGGAGCAGCAAUGCACUGAGUGACGCAGCUAACGCGUGAAGUUGACCGCCUGGGGAGUACGGCCGCAAGGUU
rnacentral:rRNA from 1 species